GAAUAUGAGACCUGCACCUUCCUUUCCCAUUGUGGGUGUGCUACAAUUUGAAGGAAGCCAAUCACUUAUCCAUCUAAUUUAUGGAAGAUCUUGAUGUGAAGGGCUCUUUGUAGAUCCCAUCAGAGCUACCCAGCCAUUCUGACACAUGUGAGUUGACAUCUCAUUGUGCUUUCGACCUGCAUUUCCCUGAUGAUUAGCUAUGUUGAACAUCUUUUCACAUAUGCCUGUUGGCCAUCUGCGUAUUGCAACCUGCAUCCGCCCUCCUUCGGCAGGAAUUCCUGUCCUAAAAGAUCCUGAGCAUAAGCCCCUGCCUGCUUUCAACAACUUGGGAAAGGAGCCCUCAGUACUUUCUCCAACUCAGGCUUUUGUUUCUCUACACCCAGCAUUGUCCACCGUUUCUCAGCUGCCAUCUAUUUAUUGAGGAUCAUUGUCAAUGCACCUCUGAAUGCCAUGCCUACAUCUCUGGGUAAUGUUCCUCCAAACUUGGCAGCUGUCCACUCUUUUUCAGCAUGUACUGUCUUAGCAAUGCUGUUCUUGCUGUAAGAAAGCGUUCCCAUGUUGAUUUUCUAGCAGGGUUCUGAAUUCCUUCCAGCUCCUCUGGUUUUCUAAGGUGCAAUCCAUUCUAUUGUUUUCAGUUGAGGAGUUCCCUCUAGCCAAGAAUUACUUUUUGUUAAAUCAUCCUUUCCAAAUGUUUUCUCUACAAUCUCUGUAAUGAACUGACAGAUGGGUGUCUGAUCUUCAGGAGAUAUAAUGAAGAUUUAUUUUCUAAACUGUCAGGACAAGCCAAGGUUAUCAUACAAGAAAACUAACACACUGCAAAUUGCACUCAAUUCAACCAAAAAUGUCAAUUUCAUUGGCUGUGACUUUUUCCUCUGUAUCCCGUUGAUAAUAUAGAUAUACUUAUAUAUUCAGAGCUUGUAUCAUCGCAUUGAUUACCUUGCUGAUAAACACUAAUUUUUGAGAAGACCAGAGCUUUCAUGAGUUCCAUAAAUCUUAUCACAUUCAGGAUAAUACUUUUAAAAUUUUAACUAAGAAUGGAUAAUGGUUCUGGUCAUUUGGUUAUUCUGUGUCCUUCAGAGAAAUGAUCUGAAUAUCCCACUUGGGCAACUUGAAGAAAAAUGCCCACAUCUAUAGAUCAUCAAUGAACACUGAAUAAGCUUAGGUCCAGUUUAUGCCUGCCCAUAGACAGUGAACUCUGGAGGAUAGAAAUAUUACUAGGUGACAUCAUGGUAGAAGGAAUAGAUCUGCCACAAAGAAUUUCCAAUUUUCUAAAACCAACACAAACUUCUACCCUUGCUAAUAAAUAACAUCUGAGCCACUUGACUUUCUAAAGGGCUCUGUUCUCCUACUCAUAUCUCAGCUUCCUCCCCUGUUCCUCUCUUAAAGAGUUGUUGCUUAGGAAUUUUUUCAUAAAUUGAAUCCACCUGGAUCCCUAUAGAUCUCUUCUCUUUGUAAAGAACAGUAACAGGCAAAUAUUCUGCAAAUUAAUACCACAAAAUAGUUGGCCUCUCUUUGUCUGAAAUCUACACGGUAGCUGCAAUGCCACAGCUCGGUAGCCAGCAAUUCACACUAAAUGCUCUGGUGGAUGAAUUGGCUCUGUACCCAGAGUGAACAGUGCAAGCAAACCAUAAAAAAGUAAAAUGUACUAAACCACCAACUGACAUUAUGGAAAUAAGACACUUGCUGGCCAAAA
rnacentral:lncRNA from 9 species